ACUCAAAAAUGUGCAAUAUGGCUGAAUACCUCAUGUGGGAUCUUUUAUACCUUGAGAAUCGCGUGAGAAUGCUACAACGUCGAAUAGAAAGAAGAGUCUGGCGUGAUACUAAUGAUCCAUUCGAGUUACACGAUAAUGUUUUCAUUAAUUUAUUUCGCUUGCCACUUGACACUGUGUUGGAAUUAGCAGAGAUCUUAAGACCAAGGUUACAACGAUUACGGCCAUAUGGAAUUUCAGUACAGCGUCAAGUAUAUGCACAUAUAUUUUAUGUGUGUGAUUUAAUAUGAAAUUAUUACUAUUAUUUCUAUAUGUUCAACAAAUAUUGUUUAAUAGGUAUUAAUAGCUUGAAGCUUUUUAUGCUGUUGGCUGCUACCAAGGCCAUUGGGGAACAAUGGAAUCUGGCUGUCAGUUAAUCGACUGUAAGCCGUUGUGUAGCAAUCGUGACAAAUGGAAUAAACGACCUAUUACUAUGACCAUGGGUAAAAUUUCCUAUUACAGCGGAGGAUCGACAAGCUGCAAGAGAAAAGUUCCGCACAGCACAACAUCCGUUUAUAGGUGCUAUCGGUGCAAUAGAUUGCACUUAUGUAUCGAUUCUGGCACCGCAACUUCACGAAGAAGCCUACGUCAAUCACUGGGGUGAUCACUGUCUCAAUGUUCAAGCGAUUUGUGACCCUGAUUUAAAAAUUCUAAACAUUAAUGCUCGAUAUCCUGGGGCACGACAUGAUGCAUAUAUUUGGGCAAAUUGUGCUACUCGUCGUGUCAUGGAACGAUGGUAUAUGCAAGGAGAACGCAAGACUUGGCUUAUCGGUGAUGAUGGGUAUGGACUGGAGCCGUGGUUAAUGACUCCAUUGAAACACGAGCAGCCAGGAACUCCACGUUUUAAUUAUAAUGAAGAAUUAUGCAGUAACAUUGUUACAUUAAAUAUGUACAAUGUAGAAUGUAAAGAGCGGGUCUGUGGGAUUUGAUAAAGGGGAUCUUCGUCAUCCAUCUCAAGUCGUUCAAUAUUUUCCUACAACAAACAAUUAUUAUAACGUAAAUUGUUUCUUUAUACACUACGCGUUAUUCAAUGUUCUGCAAUGGGGCUCCUUCAGCUGGAAAAUUGCCUAUGCGUAAGCGCUCAGCUCUUAACUUGCUUGCUUUCCUCGAAGAAACGCUCUUCAGAUCCCGCCAUACCUAAAUAUAUUAAAUAUAAUAAUGUAAUAUGCAAAUCCCAAUCAAAUGUAUCCCAGUAAACUAGUCAUAUAACAGAAAAGCAAUUAUAUAACAUUGAUAUUA